rnacentral:rRNA from 1 species
AGUGAACGCUGGCGGUAGGCCUAACACAUGCAAGUCGAACGGCAGCACAGUAAGAGCUUGCUCUUACGGGUGGCGAGUGGCGGACGGGUGAGGAAUACAUCGGACUCUACUUUUUCGUGGGGGAUAACGUAGGGAAACUUACGCUCAUACCGCAUACGACCUACGGGUGAAAGCAGGGGAUCUUCGGACCUUGCGCGAUUGAAUGAGCCGAUGUCGGAUUAGCUAGUUGGCGGGGUAAAGGCCCACCAAGGCGACGAUCCGUAGCUGGUCUGAGAGGAUGAUCAGCCACACUGGAACUGAGACACGGUCCAGACUCCUACGGGAGGCAGCAGUGGGGAAUAUUGGACAAUGGGCGCAAGCCUGAUCCAGCCAUACCGCGUGGGUGAAGAAGGCCUUCGGGUUGUAAAGCCCUUUUGUUGGGAAAGAAAAGCAGCAGGUUAAUACCCCGCUGUUCCGACGGUACCCAAAGAAUAAGCACCGGCUAACUUCGUG